rnacentral:rRNA from 1 species
UGGAAGUAAAAAGUCGUAACAAGGUCUCCGUUGGUGAACCAGCGGAGGGAUCAUUACCGAGUUUACAACUCCCAAACCCAAUGUGAACGUUACCAAACUGUUGCCUCGGCGGGAUCUCUGCCCCGGGUGCGUCGCAGCCCCGGACCAAGGCGCCCGCCGGAGGACCAACCAAAACUCUUUUUGUAUACCCCCUCGCGGGUUUUUUUAUAAUCUGAGCCUUCUCGGCGCCUCUCGUAGGCGUUUCGAAAAUGAAUCAAAACUUUCAACAACGGAUCUCUUGGUUCUGGCAUCGAUGAAGAACGCAGCGAAAUGCGAUAAGUAAUGUGAAUUGCAGAAUUCAGUGAAUCAUCGAAUCUUUGAACGCACAUUGCGCCCGCCAGUAUUCUGGCGGGCAUGCCUGUCCGAGCGUCAUUUCAACCCUCGAACCCCUCCGGGGGGUCGGCGUUGGGGAUCGGCCCUCCCUUAGCGGGUGGCCGUCUCCGAAAUACAGUGGCGGUCUCGCCGCAGCCUCUCCUGCGCAGUAGUUUGCACACUCGCAUCGGGAGCGCGGCGCGUCCACAGCCGUUAAACACCCAACUUCUGAAAUGUUGACCUCGGAUCAGGUAGGAAUACCCGCUGAACUUAAGCAUAUCAAUA